rnacentral:misc_RNA from 1 species
UACGGAGGGGGUUAGCGUUGUUCGGAAUUACUGGGCGUAAAGCGCGCGUAGGCGGACUACCCAGUCAGAGGUGAAAUCCCGGGGCUCAACCCCGGAACUGCCUUUGAUACUAGUAGUCUUGAGUUCGAGAGAGGUGAGUGGAAUUCCGAGUGUAGAGGUGAAAUUCGUAGAUAUUCGGAGGAACACCAGUGGCGAAGGCGGCUCACUGGCUCGAUACUGACGCUGAGGUGCGAAAGCGUGGGGAGCAAACAGG